ACAAAGCACUUUUGUAAGUCACCCUGAAUAAGGGUGUCUGCUAAAUGUCUUAAA
rfam:Astyanax mexicanus chromosome 4, whole genome shotgun sequence.